CACAUGAUCAUAAAGCCAUGAGGUUGCUUCUGGAAGGCUGAAAUUGCGCCAAAAAAAAUUGUGAGAUGUUUGGCUGUUUAGCAGCUGGCUUGUUUGGAAUAUCUGUCCAGCUCAAAAAUGGCUCCAGCGGUUAGAAACAGGUGAUGGCAUGGCAGAAUGGCUUUAUGGAAACUUCAAGCAUAUGACAGCUUAAUUUUCUUCCACAAGGCUGUGAGACCAGUUUGCAGGUGAUGCUAAAGUUUUCAGAUCUACAGCACCAGGUGACAUACAGCCAACACUUAGUGUCUAGCUUAUUGUCAAAAGAAAUGUCUGUGCCUCCUUUGUUAAACCAGAUCUAGCAAUGUGAAGCGAGAUGCCAUAAUAUACAGAGGUCUUCACCUCAACUGCGUCUGCUGACAUCCAGGCUGCAAGUUGAUUUUGUUUUAUAUACAGAUCUUCAAGCACUGGACAAAAUGUCUACAUGAAACAUUUCUCCGUUGCAUCAGCCCAGGUGUUUUAACAGCUGGAGUACGUGUGUGUUUUGUGCAACUCUGCUGCUCUCACAACUCGUGUACCCAUGGAAAGGGAUUGUCCUUGGCGUUUGAACUAUAAACCUGGCUAUUUAAUAAAAUGCUAAUAAAGUGUUUCUAAUAUCUGUUCUAUUAAUAAAGCUGUGACUUAUCUUA